ensembl:snRNA U1 U1 spliceosomal RNA
AUACUUAUCUGGCAGGGGAGAUUCCGUGAUCAUGAAGGUGGUUUUCCCAGGGUGAGGCUCAUCCAUUGCACUCCGGAUGUGCUGACCCCUGUGAUUUCCCCAAAUGUAGGAACCUCGACUGCAUAAUUUGUGGUAGUGGGGGACUGCAUUCACACUCUCA